rnacentral:rRNA from 1 species
GUGAGUAGUUCAGAGUUUGAUCCUGGCUCAGGAUGAACGCUGGCGGCGUGCAUAACACAUUCAAGUCGAACGGACAAGGGGCUUCGGCCCUGCGUUAGUGGCGGACGGGCGAGUAACGCGUGAGAAACCUGCCUUUCAGUGGGGGACAACAGUUGGAAACGACUGCUAAUACCGCAUAAUGUUAUUUGGGGGCAUCCUUGAAUAACCAAAGCUUUAUGUGCUGAAAGAUGGUCUCGCGUCUGACUAGCUAGUUGGUGAGGUAACGGCUCACCAAGGCGACGAUCAGUAGCCGGUCUGAGAGGAUGAACGGCCACAUUGGGACUGAGAUACGGCCCAG